rnacentral:rRNA from 1 species
AGUGAACGCUGGCGGUAGGCCUAACACAUGCAAGUCGAACGGCCGCACAGUAAGCGCUUGCUCCUACGGGUGGCGAGUGGCGGACGGGUGAGCGAUACAACCGUACCUACUAUUUCGUGGGGGAUAACGGAGGGCAACUUACACUAAUACCGCAUACGUCCUACGGGUGAAACCAUGGUAUCUUACGACCUUGCGCGCUCGAAUGGAUCGAUGUCGGAUUAGCUAGUUGGCGGGGUAAAGGCCGACCAAGGCGACGAUCCGUAGCUGGUCUGAGAGGAUGAUCAGCCACACUGGAACUGAGACACGGUCCAGACUCCUACGGGAGGCAGCAGUGGGGAAUAUUGGACAAUGGGCGCAAGCCUGAUCCAGCCAUACCGCGUGGGUGAAGAAGGCCUUCGGGUUGUAAAGCCCUUUUAUUGGGAAAGAAAAGCAGCAGGUGAAUACCCGGCUGUUCUGACGGUACCCAAAGAGAAAGCAACGGCUAACUUCGUG